rnacentral:rRNA from 1 species
GACAGAGGGGGCAAGCGUUGCUCGGAAUUACUGGGCGUAAAGGGCGCGUAGGCGGGAUGGCAAGUCGGUCGUGAAAUCCCUCGGCUCAACCGAGGAACGUCGAUCGAUACUGCUGUUCUUGAGAAUUGCAGAGGAGACUGGAAUUCCCGGUGUAGCGGUGAAAUGUGUAGAGAUCGGGAGGAACACCGGUGGCGAAGGCGGGUCUCUGGGCAAUUCCUGACGCUGAGGCGCGAAAGCGUGGGGAGCAAACGGG